GAGUUUGAUCCUGGCUCAGGACGAACGCUGGCGGCGUGCCUAAUACAUGCAAGUCGAGCGGACAGAUGGGAGCUUGCUCCCUGAUGUUAGCGGCGGACGGGUGAGUAACGCGUGGGUAACCUGCCUGUAAGACUGGGAUAACUCCGGGAAACCGGGGCUAAUACCGGAUGGUUGUUUGAACCGCAUGGUUCAAACAUAAAAGGUGGCUUCGGCUACCACUUACAGAUGGACCCGCGGCGCAUUAGCUAGUUGGUGAGGUAAUGGCUCACCAAGGCAACGAUGCGUAGCCGACCUGAGAGGGUGAUCGGCCACACUGGGACUGAGACACGGCCCAGACUCCUACGGGAGGCAGCAGUAGGGAAUCUUCCGCAAUGGACGAAAGUCUGACGGAGCAACGCCGCGUGAGUGAUGAAGGUUUUCGGAUCGUAAAGCUCUGUUGUUAGGGAAGAACAAGUACCGUUCGAAUAGGGCGGUACCUUGACGGUACCUAACCAGAAAGCCACGGCUAACUACGUGCCAGCAGCCGCGGUAAUACGUAGGUGGCAAGCGUUGUCCGGAAUUAUUGGGCGUAAAGGGCUCGCAGGCGGUUUCUUAAGUCUGAUGUGAAAGCCCCCGGCUCAACCGGGGAGGGUCAUUGGAAACUGGGGAACUUGAGUGCAGAAGAGGAGAGUGGAAUUCCACGUGUAGCGGUGAAAUGCGUAGAGAUGUGGAGGAACACCAGUGGCGAAGGCGACUCUCUGGUCUGUAACUGACGCUGAGGAGCGAAAGCGUGGGGAGCGAACAGGAUUAGAUACCCUGGUAGUCCACGCCGUAAACGAUGAGUGCUAAGUGUUAGGGGGUUUCCGCCCCUUAGUGCUGCAGCUAACGCAUUAAGCACUCCGCCUGGGGAGUACGGUCGCAAGACUGAAACUCAAAGGAAUUGACGGGGGCCCGCACAAGCGGUGGAGCAUGUGGUUUAAUUCGAAGCAACGCGAAGAACCUUACCAGGUCUUGACAUCCUCUGACAAUCCUAGAGAUAGGACGUCCCCUUCGGGGGCAGAGUGACAGGUGGUGCAUGGUUGUCGUCAGCUCGUGUCGUGAGAUGUUGGGUUAAGUCCCGCAACGAGCGCAACCCUUGAUCUUAGUUGCCAGCAUUCAGUUGGGCACUCUAAGGUGACUGCCGGUGACAAACCGGAGGAAGGUGGGGAUGACGUCAAAUCAUCAUGCCCCUUAUGACCUGGGCUACACACGUGCUACAAUGGACAGAACAAAGGGCAGCGAAACCGCGAGGUUAAGCCAAUCCCACAAAUCUGUUCUCAGUUCGGAUCGCAGUCUGCAACUCGACUGCGUGAAGCUGGAAUCGCUAGUAAUCGCGGAUCAGUAUGCCGCGGUGAAUACGUUCCCGGGCCUUGUACACACCGCCCGUCACACCGCGAGAGUUUGUAACACCCGAAGUCGGUGAGGUAACCUUUUAGGAGCCAGCCGCCGAAGGUGGGACAGAUGAUUGGGGUGAAGUCGUAACAAGGUAGCCGUAUCGGAAGGUGCGGCUGGAUCACCUCC
rnacentral:rRNA from 1 species